rnacentral:rRNA from 1 species
CCUACGGGGUGCAGCAGUGAGGAAUAUUGGUCAAUGGACGAGAGUCUGAACCAGCCAAGUAGCGUGAAGGAUGACUGCCCUAUGGGUUGUAAACUUCUUUUAUAAAGGAAUAAAACGAGGCACGUGUGCCUUUUUGCAUGUACUUUAUGAAUAAGGAUCGGCUAACUCCGUGCCAGCAGCCGCGGUACUACGGAGGAUCCGAGCGUUAUCCGGUUUUAUUGGGUUUAAAGGGAGCGUAGAUGGGUUGGUAAGUCAGUUGUGAAAGUUUGCGGCUCAACCGUAAAAUUGCAAUUGAUACUGGCAGACUUGAGGACAGUUGAGGUAGGCGGAACUCGUGGUGGAGCGGGGAAAUGCUUAGAUAUAACGAAGAACCCCGAUUGCGAAGGCAGCUUUCUAAACUGUGACUGACAUUGAUGCUCGAAAGUGUGGGUAUAAAACAGGAUUAGAUACCCGUGUAGUC